CUGCCCCGCCCCCACCGCACCCCGCUCGCGGGGCAGAGCGGGACGGCGCGGGCGCGCGGCCGACCGUUGGUGUGGGGGGGAGGGAGAGGGUCGCCCCAGCCCGCCGCCCWCGGGCGCCUCGCCGCCGUCCCCUCGCCUCGCCCCCAGUUCUGCCGGCAGCCCCUCCUGUUUCCCUGCCCCUCCCGGGAAGCCCCGGGAGCCCCGUCGUUUGCCCCUGCGGUGGCGGUGGCGGGGGGAAGCCCGGGGCGUCCAGCCUCGCUGGGGCUCAGCUGCGCCGGCCCUAGAAGGCGUAACGCAUUCUGGUUCUGGCCGCUUUGGGCCGAGGCGGCUUGCUCAGGGAGGAGAGGCCCUGCUUGCCCCAUGCACCCGGCGAGAGGGCAGCCACCUGCCGCCCUGGGGACCGGGAGCAGUGGCCCAGGAGGUUGUGAUUCUGGAAAACAGAAGGCAGUGCUGGAAAACUAUAGCUCUACAUUUAAGUAUUGUGACAGUGAAUUACUGGGCAAGAGAGAACAUUCCAAGUGAGUCUCAAAAUAGAAGGCAGUUAAGUAAGUAAGUCCAUGAAUUUAGCAUUAUAUGGAAUCUUGAGUUCAGCCCUUGUCUU
rnacentral:lncRNA from 1 species